rnacentral:siRNA from 1 species
UUAAGCGGUGUUCUAGGUUC